UAACCCAUAAAGCAUUGGUCUUGUAAACCAAAGACUGAAGACUACAAUCUUCCUAAAGUA
rnacentral:tRNA from 1 species